rnacentral:rRNA from 1 species
CCUACGGGUGGCUGCAGUGAGGAAUAUUGGUCAAUGGCCGGGAGCCUGAACCAGCCAAGCCGCGUGAAGGAAGAAGGUACCUAGCAUUGUAAACUUCUUUUGUCAGGGAACAAAAUCGGAGUCGAGAGCCCGGCCGAGUGUACCCGAAGAAAAAGCAUCGGCUAACUCCGUGCCAGCAGCCGCGGUAAUACGGAGGAUGCGAGCGUUAUCCGGAUUUAUUGGGUUUAAAGGGUGCGCAGGCGGGAGGUUAAGUCAGCGGUAAAAUGUCGGGGCUCAACCCCGGCGGGCCGUUGAAACUGGUUGUCUAGAGUUGUAGAGAGGUAUGCGGAAUGCGUGGUGUAGCGGUGAAAUGCUUAGAUAUCGCGAAGAACUCCGAUUGCGAAGGCAGCAUACCGGCGCCGAUCUGACGCUGAGGCACGAAAGCGUGGGGAUCGAACAGGAUUAGAUACCCCUGUAGUC